GAUGAACGCUGGCGGCGUGCCUAAUACAUGCAAGUCGAGCGAACGGACGAGAAGCUUGCUUCUCUGAUGUUAGCGGCGGACGGGUGAGUAACACGUGGAUAACCUACCUAUAAGACUGGGAUAACUUCGGGAAACCGGAGCUAAUACCGGAUGAUAUUUUGAACCGCAUGGUUCAAAAGUGAAAGACGGUCUUGCUGUCACUUAUAGAUGGAUCCGCGCUGCAUUAGCUAGUUGGUAAGGUAACGGCUUACCAAGGCAACGAUGCAUAGCCGACCUGAGAGGGUGAUCGGCCACACUGGAACUGAGACACGGUCCAGACUCCUACGGGAGGCAGCAGUAGGGAAUCUUACGAAAUGGGCGAAAGCCUGACGGAGCAACGCCGCGUGAGUGAUGAAGGUCUUCGGAUCGUAAAACGCUGUUAGUAGGGAAGAACAUAUGUGUAAGUAACUGUGCACAUCUUGACGGUACCUAAUCAGAAAGCCACGGCUAACUACGUG
rnacentral:rRNA from 1 species